AUGGCCACGAGAGCUUUAAGGGAGGUGGCGGGGAGGAGGAGCGCCGGAGCGGCGGGGAUUGGCGGGAGCAGACGCUUCUCCGACAGCGCCGCCGCCGCCGCCGCUGCUGCUCCGGCGGGGGCGGCGGAGAGGGGAGAUGGGGGAGGGGGGAAGGCGGUGAACCUGUUCACCGCCGUCAACCAGGCGCUCCACAUCGCGCUCGACACCGAUCCGCGCUCUUAUGUCUUUGGAGAGGAUGUGGGUUUUGGCGGCGUCUUUCGCUGCACAACAGGGCUAGCUGAUCGAUUUGGGAAACAAAGAGUAUUCAAUACACCACUGUGUGAACAGGGUAUUGCCGGAUUUGCUAUUGGCUUAGCAGCAAUGGGCAAUAGAGCUAUUGCUGAAAUCCAGUUUGCAGAUUAUAUCUUUCCAGCAUUUGAUCAGAUCGUCAACGAAGCAGCUAAAUUCAGAUACCGAAGUGGAAAUGAAUUUAACUGUGGAGGUUUAACAAUUCGAUCUCCAUAUGGUGCUGUUGGACAUGGUGGUCACUACCAUUCACAGUCACCAGAGGCUUUCUUCUGCCAUGUUCCUGGCCUGAAGGUUGUCAUACCUCGAAGUCCACGUGAGGCCAAGGGACUGUUGUUGGCCAGCAUUCGUGACCCAAACCCGGUCAUCUUUUUCGAGCCAAAGUGGCUGUACCGUUUGUCUCUUGAAGAAGUUCCUGAGGGGGACUAUAUGCUGCCUUUAUCUCAGGCAGAAGUGAUUCGCAAAGGAAGUGAUAUAACACUUAUUGGUUGGGGAGCUCAACUUGCAGUGCUGGAACAAGCAUGUGAAGAUGCUUCAAAGGUCAAUUAUUCACGCUAG
rnacentral:rRNA from 1 species